AGACUUUAUCUAAUUUCCUGCUUGAGGAAGGCAGGCAUGUCAGGAGGCAUCAUUUUCCCCUGGUUUUUCUUUUCUGAUGGGGAAACUGAGGCACAGCACGAGACAGAGGACGUACUUGAACACAGGAAGGUUAGUGGGCAUGGAGGGGAGGGAACAAGAGCGUCUGUGUGCUCUCUGUCAUUUCUUUUCCCAUUUUCUCAGCUGCGCAUGCCUUUACCCCAAUUUGGUAACCUUGAAAACAGUGCCCUUGGGGCUGGAGAGGUGGCUCAGAGGUUAAGAGCACUGGCUGCUCUUCCAGAGGUCCUGAGUUCAAUUCCCAGCAACUACAUGGUGGCUCUAAACCAUCCUAUAAUGAGAUAUGGUGACCUCUUCUGGCCUCGAGGCAUGCAUGCAGGCAGAACACUGUACGCACAAUAAAUCUUCAAGCAACACAAAACAAAAUGCCCCUGGCUAUCUGCUCACAAGACUGUGCCCCAGCUUU
rnacentral:lncRNA from 1 species